AUGGAAGGCUUGCUACAUUGGGAUUUUGCUCCUGGCCUAGCCCUGGCCGAUCAGGUGAGGAGAAAAUUUGGUUCUACGGUACACUUCUCUCCUUCUCGGGAAUCCAAGGAGUUCUUCUUGGUGGUCUCUUUUUCGUCUGCCUCCUUUCCUCUCUUGGUGGAAUCGGUGGGCAUUGCUCUCCAAUGUUGCAUUGGU
rnacentral:rRNA from 1 species